GAUGAACGCUGGCGGUAUGCCUAACACAUGCAAGUCGUACGAGAGUUUUUAACUCUAGUGGCGGACGGGUGAGUAACACGUGAGAAUUUGCCUUUAGGAGGGGGAUAACAAUUGGAAACGAAUGCUAAUACCCCAUAUGCUUUUGAGUGAAACGGAUUUAUCCGCCUAGAGAGAAGCUCGCGGCUGAUUAGCUUGUUGGUAAGGUAAGAGCUUACCAAGGCGACGAUCAGUAUCUGGUUUGAGAGGACGAUCAGACACACUGGAACUGAGACACGGUCCAGACUCCUACGGGAGGCAGCAGUGGGGAAUUUUCCGCAAUGGGCGAAAGCCUGACGGAGCAAUACCGUGUGAGGGAAGAAUGCCUAUGGGUUGUAAACCUCUUUUUUCAGGGAGGAAUAAAAUGACGUGUACCUGAAGAAUAAGCAUCGGCUAACUCCGUG
rnacentral:rRNA from 1 species